GCAUAUCAAUAAGCGGAGGAAAAGAAACUAACAAGGAUUCCCCUAGUAACUGCGAGUGAAGCGGGAAAAGCUCAAAUUUAAAAUCUGACAGUUUCACUGUCCGAGUUGUAAUCUGGAGAAGCAUUUUCCGCGUCGGACCGUGUACAAGUUUCUUGGAAUAGAACGUCAUAGAGGGUGAGAAUCCCGUCCAUGACACGGACUACCGAUGCUUUGUGAUAUGCUCUCGAAGAGUCGAGUUGUUUGGGAAUGCAGCUCAAAAUGGGUGGUAAAUUCCAUCUAAAGCUAAAUAUUGGCGAGAGACCGAUAGCGAACAAGUACCGUGAGUGAGGGAAAGAUGAAAAGMCCUUGGAAAGAGAGUUAAMCAGUACGUGAAAUUGUUGAAAGGGAAACGCCUGAAGUCAGUCCCGUUGGCAGAGACUCAGCUGCUUGCAUGUGUACUCUCAGUUAACGGGUCAACAUCAAUUUCAGUUGGUGGAUAAAGGCAUUGGAAUGUGGCACUUCGGUGUGUUAUAGACCUCUGUCGCAUACACUGACCGGAUUGAGGAACGCAGCACGCCACUAAGGCCAGGGAUCCGUCCCAUGUAACGUGCUUAGGAUGUUGGCAUAAUGGCUUUAAGCGACCCGUCUUGAAACACGGACCAAGGAGUCUAACAUGCCUGCGAGUAUUAGGGUGGAAAACCCUUGUGCGUAAUUAACGUGAAAGUUGGGACCUCUUGCGAGGGCACCGACGCCCGGCCCUGAAGUUUACUGACGGCGCUGCGGUAGAGCAUGUAUGUUGGGACCCGAAAGAUGGUGAACUAUGCCUGAAUAGGUGAAGCCAGGGGAAACUCUGGUGGAGGCUCGUAGCGAUUCUGACGUGCAAAUCGAUCGUCAAAUUUGGUAUAGGGCGAAAGCUAUCG
rnacentral:rRNA from 1 species